ACAGAGGGUGCAAGCGUUAAUCGGAAUUACUGGGCGUAAAGCGUGCGUAGGUGGUUCGUUAAGUCAGAUGUGAAAGCCCGGGGCUCAACCUCGGAACUGCAUUUGAUACUGGCGAGCUGGAGUGUGGUAGAGGGUAGUGGAAUUCCACGUGUAGCAGUGAAAUGCGUAGAGAUGUGGAGGAACACCGAUGGCGAAGGCAGCCCCCUGGGACAUGACUGACGCUCAGGUACGAAAGCGUGGGGAGCAAACAG
rnacentral:rRNA from 1 species